CAUUAAACGUUGAACGGUCCAAAUUAAUUCUUGAGGUUCAGAGAGCUGAUGCGUGGUGGAAGUCAGCCCUUGAGAUUAAUGGCACAACCGUGAGUUUGAUCAUCGAAUAAAGAUGAUCCGUUAGCCCGUUAUCGCUGUAGUUUUAGAAACUACAUAAGUUUAAGCUGCGUGAGCAGUUUAUUAAACUGAGGUGGCACCGCGAUAAAUUCGUCCUCUUG
rnacentral:ncRNA from 2 species